rnacentral:rRNA from 1 species
AACGAACGCUGGCGGCAGGCUUAACACAUGCAAGUCGAGCGCCCCGCAAGGGGAGCGGCAGACGGGUGAGUAACGCGUGGGAACGUACCCUUUGCUACGGAAUAGCUCCGGGAAACUGGAAUUAAUACCGUAUGUGCCCUACGGGGGAAAGAUUUAUCGGCAAAGGGUCGGCCCGCGUUGGAUUAGCUAGUUGGUGGGGUAAUGGCCUACCAAGGCGACGAUCCAUAGCUGGUCUGAGAGGAUGAUCAGCCACAUUGGGACUGAGACACGGCCCAAACUCCUACGGGAGGCAGCAGUGGGGAAUAUUGGACAAUGGGCGCAAGCCUGAUCCAGCCAUGCCGCGUGAGUGAUGAAGGCCUUAGGGUUGUAAAGCUCUUUCACCGGAGAAGAUAGUGACGGUAUCCGGAGAAGAAGCCCCGGCUAACUUCGUGCCAGCCGCCGCGGUAAUAC